UACGGGGGGGGCAAGCGUUGUUCGGAAUUACUGGGCGUAAAGGGCUCGUAGGCGGCCAACUAAGUCAGACGUGAAAUCCCUCGGCUUAACCGGGGAACUGCGUCUGAUACUGGGUGGCUUGAAUCCGGGAGAGGGAUGCGGAAUUCCAGGUGUAGCGGUGAAAUGCGUAGAUAUCUGGAGGAACACCGGUGGCGAAGGCGGCAUCCUGGACCGGUAUUGACGCUGAGGAGCGAAAGCCAGGGGAGCAAACGGG
rnacentral:rRNA from 1 species